CUAAAAAAAAUUUCCACCUGUGAAGUAACCGGAUUCUCUUCAUUCUUCAAAUAAAAGUUAUUCACAAUUUGAUUCUUCAAAAAAAUAUAUGCAUUAAUUCAAGGAUUUUCUUGAUCGAUAAACAAUUAGUCAUUUUUUUGCAGAUUUUUACUACAAAAAUGUAGGCUCUGCGGUUAAAAUGGCUCAACAGAUGAUAUUUUACUUUCUUCAUAAUUCUACCCGCAUUCAAGUUUAAGAUAGCAAUGUCAGGCAAAGACACUAUUAAUAAAUAAAAAAAUUGGGUGUUGAAGAUUUUGAUAAACAUGAUGAAGACCAAGGUGAAGAACAAUUUACUAUUAGUUUGUUUUGUAUUUAUAAAUUCUUUUAAAAUUUUGUAUUAUUUCUAAAUUUGUAUUUAAACAAUUAAGUAUGAUUUUAGGGGUCGUUUGUUAGGCUACAUUAAACAAAUACUUCAUAUAAUUUGUAUUUUAUUAUAUAGUACUAUGUUUGGUAGGGAAUUAGGUCGAUAAACAAUCAAGUAAACAUUGUUUCAUCAUAAUUUGAAUUUGAUUAAGUUAAUUU